AUGCAGCAGCGGGAAGAACAACACACGACCAUGGCCUUCGGCCUCUGCGUGGGGCUUCCUAGCGCGGCUCCUCUGCAGCCCCGACUCCUCUUGGAGUGGAGACGGCCAACGGCUGACGCGGCGCUCUUUCUUACGGUCGGCGAACCCAUCUCGCUCGUCGGUUACUGCGGCGCUCGCGCCCACGCGGCACCAGGCUGUGGCGGUCGAAGGUAG
rnacentral:rRNA from 1 species